UAAAGCGCGCGUAGGUGGUUUGUUAAGUUGGAUGUGAAAGCCCCGGGCUCAACCUGGGAACUGCAUCCAAAACUGGCAAGCUAGAGUAUGGUAGAGGGUGGUGGAAUUUCCUGUGUAGCGGUGAAAUGCGUAGAUAUAGGAAGGAACACCAGUGGCGAAGGCGACCACCUGGACUGAUACUGACACUGAGGUGCGAAAGCGUGGGGAGCAAACAGGAUUAGAUACCCAGU
rnacentral:rRNA from 1 species